rnacentral:rRNA from 1 species
UACGUAGGAUGCGAGCGUUGUCCGGAAUUAUUGGGCGUAAAGAGCUUGUAGGCGGUUUGUCGCGUCUGCUGUGAAAAAUCCGGGGCUCAACUCCGGAUCUGCGGUGGGUACGGGCAGACUAGAGUGAUGUAGGGGAGACUGGAAUUCCUGGUGUAGCGGUGAAAUGCGCAGAUAUCAGGAGGAACACCGAUAGCGAAGGCAGGUCUCUGGGCAUUAACUGACGCUGAGGAGCGAAAGCAUGGGGAGCGAACAGG